GACGAACGCUGGCGGCGUGCUUAACACGUGCAAGUCGAACGGUGAGGGGGUCUGCUUUUGUGGGCCCUGGAUGAGUGGCGAACGGGUGAGUAACACGUGAGUAACCUGCCCCCUUCUUCUGGAUAACCGCAUGAAAGUGUGGCUAAUACGGGAUAUUCUGGGUCUGUCGCAUGAUGGGUCUGGGAAAGGUUGCGCCUUUGGGUGUUUUUGGUGGGGGAUGGGCUCGCGGCCUAUCAGCUUGUUGGUGGGGUGAUGGCCUACCAAGGCGGUGACGGGUAGCCGGCCUGAGAGGGUGGACGGUCACACUGGGACUGAGACACGGCCCAGACUCCUACGGGAGGCAGCAGUGGGGAAUAUUGCACAAUGGGCGCAAGCCUGAUGCAGCGACGCCGCGUGAGGGAUGGAGGUCUUCGGGUUGUAAACCUCUUUCGCCAGUGAAGCAGGCCUGCUCCUUGUGGGUGGGUUGACGGUAGCUGGAGAAGAAGCGCCGGCUAACUACGUG
rnacentral:rRNA from 1 species